rnacentral:lncRNA from 1 species
UAAGCCUUUAUUCUUUUCUCUUGUUCUUUUUCCCCAUUAAGCUAGUCAACAAACUUGGCUCUGUUGUAUUUCCAACUAUGUAUGGUAUGUGGUUGUUUUAGAUACACCCUGCAGUAGCUGAUGGCUCAAGGUGAACAAUAACUGAUAGUCUCUUUCUCUUUCUCUAUGCGUAUGUGCAUGAGUGCGCAUGUGUUUGUUUUUGGAAACAUGUGAUUUGGUUCAUUUCAGUUAUUUGUAGCAUCCACGAAUAUUUAGUCAAGUGUUCAAUCUUCCCAUGAAAUGCUUCAGAGAUUCAUCAUAUGAAAUCAUGGGGUUCUCUUUAGUGCUAAGUCAUAGCAAAUUAUCAUCUUUUUAAGGUUGAUUUUGUAGAGUGUUAAAUGCUAUUUAAAUUUCCCUUAGAUAUGAAGCCAUUUAUUUUUCUCCUAAUCACUUGAAAUAGCAAGAACUAAUCAACUGGAGUUUUUCUCCUUUUUAUGUAUACACCAAUCUACCGCUGACUCACGUGCAUGUUUCUGCCUUUAGGUCAGUGGGAACUUUUCCCAGCCAUGGUUUUUUUUUUUUUUUUUUUUCUCCUCCUUCAUUCCUAAUUUCUCUCAGGAGCAAAUGGCAGCAUAGUUAAGCGUUAGAAACUUGUUGCCGAAGGUGCUAACCUAAACAUCAGUGCCAGGAUACGACUGAGACUUAAUAGACUAAUUAAUUUGUCUACUGCACCCCUGACCUGGGAAUUACAUACAAUGGACUAUACUUAUGGAACUGAGAGUCUGAGAUCCAAAGUAGAGAAAAUGCAACUUUUGUGUGCU